rnacentral:lncRNA from 1 species
UAAAUUCGAGAUUAUUGGAGAAGGUCUCAGAGUUAUUACGUUGCGGACAAAACUCAGGUGCAAAGUGAAAGUUUGAGCCUCCAGUGAAAAAUUGUUCGUAAUUAAUUGGAUUUAGCUAUUGAUUAAACUACGGCGUGAUUGAAUUGAUGAACACAAUCUAUAGUUUCAAGUCACGGACGAAUUCACGUUAAAUCACUAGUGAUGACUGGAUGAAAUUGAUUACCUGAUUUCUGCCUAAUUCAUUACUCAAACGUGGGCUAAUAACUAGGAUAGCAUUAUGGGCUCAAUUGUAUUAGACAUUGACACAUGACCUCUAAUGAGCCAAGUAAAUUGCAUAUGUAUUUUGGGGUGAAGCCCAGAUGUGCUAACAACCCCUCUUAAAAGCAUCAGCACACGAAAAUGGGGUCGAAAUUGAGCCCCAGUAAAUGGAAAACUCCAAUAGCCAACUGGAGACGGGAUUUCUUCAACUUGCCAAACAUAUUUCAACAAAAAUUGACACACGCCACGCCAGAUAAGGGAUAACAAGAGUGCGCUUUAAAAGAUGAAUACACAAUUAUACGAAUCUUAAAAAUACAGUGCCAAUUUGUAGCAUCAAAGAAUUACAAGUUUCGAAUCAUAGUUUCAAUUACUCUAAUUACAAUUCAUGAAUGACUACAUGGAUCCGGAAAUAGAGUAACAAUGAUAAUUGGACUAGAUAAGAGUUUUUGGCAUCAAAUCAACACGCCACCGCACUGGAGUACACAAAACAUUUCUGGUGCGUCUUUCUUUUUUGCUUUAAUAUCUAUUGGUUUAGCCGAAUCAGUUAGCAAUUGAAACCUGAAUUAGAGCUAUGUGUGCAGUCACCACCACCUCGCGUGCUAACAGUACUUUUCAGAGAGGCUCUCUAGCAGGUAUGCGAAACCAACAGUUACUACUGACUGACAAAAUUUUACAACUUGAACAACCAUCUUACCGGGUGUUGACUAUCACAGCCCCUAAUUCUAACUGGUAACAACACAUAAACUUCAUGGCUAAAGAUCAAAUCGUGUAGAUAAUUAAUUUCAUAUAAAUCCGCAGGAAACUUCAAAUAGACAGAUUUUAAUCAUUGUUUAACAUGAUACAUGCAAUAAUUUAGCUCAUAACUCGAGGCUACAUUCCAACAAUAAUCAAACAAUACACAACUUGAUGAAUAUCAAACACAUUCACAACACUGAAACUUGAGAGAGCAAACAAACAACUUCACACUUCAAGCAAACUGAAAUUUACAUUAUUUGAUCAAGAGUAAUACCUGGCUCACAACAAAGUAGACAAAAAAGAGAAUAAGUCUCUGACUUUGAAGAAGAAACAAAAGCAAAAGCAAACGCAGCAGCAGAAAACAACACAAAACAGCUUUGAACCUACUCCAGAAAUCCAGAAAUGGACCAAACCCAAUGAAACUGAAUACUGAUUUUUCUUUUUCCAGAAUACUUUUAGAAGGAAAAUCAGUGAAGGUUGAUGUUGAUUCCUCCUUUAAGAUGCAGAGGAAAGAAAAAGUGUUUAUAAACUGAAAAAUAAAACCUCUCAAAAUGCCCAGAUAUUUUCCUUUUUCUCCUCCUUCUUUAAUGAAUAUCCAGGGGUUUAUAUAGUGAGAGUGUACUGCUAUGAGAGAGAAAUCAGAGGGAAUAUAGGGAUCUGUCAGCUCUCCCUAAAAUUUAGGAAAAUAGCAUCUUCUCUAACAAUAAAUGGACAGCUGUCCUUUUAUUCUCAGAUAUUUUCCUAAUUUUCAGCAUCUUUCUUAACAAAUUGGGACAGCUGUCCCUUUCUAGAAGUUUUCUCUCAUUUUCCACUCUUUUAACUUCUAAAAAUUCACUCUUUUUACUCCAAAAUCUGACCUAAUAUCAGUUGUUCUAUUACAUUUUAAUCCCUAUCUAGAAGCUUCCCUGAUUUUCUUAUUUCCUUUAACUCCCUCAAGUCCAUGUUAACACCCUUCUUUUAACCUUUUCUUUUAACUCAUUAUUUUACUAUCCAAAAUUACUGCCCUCUUUCUCAUCUCAGAACCAAACGUUUAACACAUAGCAAUUAACUAAACUGAAUUAACAGCAACCAAACAAACAUAAGCUAAACAUGACUCAACAACUGAUUAAACAAGUUGAUUAAGUUCAAACCAACAAGUAAUUAUCAAUUGACCAACUUCAGGUUCAAUUCAACAAGUAGUUACUCAGAAAGUUAAAACAAUUUCCUAGUGAUUAACUAUUAACUUUAGCAUGAUGUCAAGCAAAAUUAUGAUUUAACUAAUUAUUAACAAUUAAACAGCGAAUCAUCAAUUCUAGGGAAUGAAGAGGAGAAGAAAGGAUUACCAGUAGAAGACAAUGCUGCCGGAAAAAAGAAGUCCGGCUUAUAGCUGAACACGAGCACUAGCUCACGCGUAGCCAAUGCUAUAUGUGAUGAAAUCCGCCAUACACCGGCCAAGAGAAUCACAGUUAUGGGAACUCCAAAGUUCUGGCCGGUCGACCAGGUUUUAAUCAAGUUCCGGUGACCAUUAGUCGAUUAGAGAUUGAUACCAAUUGAUAGUCCCCAAUGAGAUUAAUCGAUUGGUACAAAUUUCGUCGCCACGCGACCCGGAUUCAGAAGCAAUCAAUAAAAAAGAAAGGAUUAGGGUUCGUCCCUUUUAGAUCUAAAAAUCGAGCAAAUAUAGGAGGUUUUUCGACGAAACUAAUGGUAGGAAAAGAACAACGAGACGACAUGGGUUAUGGGAUGACAUUUUGGGGUUGACUGGAGUGGUGCCGCCGCUGUGGGCGAUUUCCGGCAGCGGCAGAGGAUUAGGGUAAGGAGAAGAGGGUUUGAGAGGUCUGUGAGAUGAAUUCGGGGUAUGGGGGGGGCCUCUUCCGACAAUUAAAAGGGAAAAGGAUGAGGAGUUAUGGUCCGUU